rnacentral:rRNA from 1 species
UACGUAGGGGGCAAGCGUUGUCCGGAAUCAUUGGGCGUAAAGGGCGCGUAGGCGGCACUGUUAGUCAGGCGUGAAAGUCCUGGGCCUCAACCUGGGAACUGCGCUUGAUACGGCAGAGCUAGAGGAUGGAAGAGGCUCGCGGAAUUCCCAGUGUAGAGGUGAAAUUCGUAGAUAUUGGGAAGAACACCGGUGGCGAAGGCGGCGAGCUGGUCCAUUACUGACGCUGAGGCGCGACAGCGUGGGGAGCAAACAGG